ensembl:snRNA U6 U6 spliceosomal RNA
GUGCUCGUUAUGGCAACACAUAUACUAAAACGGGAAUGAUACAGAGAAGAUUAGCAUGGCCCCUGCACAAGGAUGAAAUGCAAAUUCCUGAAGGCUUCCAUGUAUUU